rnacentral:rRNA from 1 species
GAUGAACGCUGGCGGCGUGCCUAAUACAUGCAAGUCGAGCGCAGGAAACUGACGGAACUCUUCGGAGGGAAGGCAGCGGAAUGAGCGGCGGACGGGUGAGUAACACGUAAGGAACCUACCUCAAGGAUUGGGACAACUCCGAGAAAUCGGAGCUAAUACCGGAUAGUUCAUCGGACCGCAUGGUCCGUUGAUGAAAGGCGCUCCGGCGUCACCUUGAGAUGGCCUUGCGGUGCAUUAGCUAGUUGGUGGGGUAACGGCUCACCAAGGCGACGAUGCAUAGCCGACCUGAGAGGGUGAUCGGCCACACUGGGACUGGGACACGGCCCAGACUCCUACGGGAGGCAGCAGUAGGGAAUCUUCCACAAUGGACGAAAGUCUGAUGGAGCAACGCCGCGUGAGUGAUGAAGGUUUUCGGAUCGUAAAACUCUGUUGUAAGGGAAGAACACGUACGAGAGGAAAUGCUCGUACCUUGACGGUACCUUACGAGAAAGCCACGGCUAACUACGUGCCAGCCGCCGCUGUAAAAC